CCUACGGGUGGCAGCAGUCGAGAAUCAUUCACAAUGGGGGAAACCCUGAUGGUGCGACGCCGCGUGGGGGAAUGCAGGUCUUCGGAUUGUAAACCCCUGUCAUGUGGGAGCAAAUUAAAAAGAUAGUACCCCACGAGGAAGAGACUGCUAACUCUGUGCCAGCAGCCGCGGUAAUACAGAGGUCUCAAGCGUUGUUCGGAAUCACUGGGCUUAAAGCGUGCGUAGGCUGUUUCGUAAGUCGUGUGUGAAAGGCGCGGGCUCAACCCGCGGACGGCACAUGGUACUGGGAGACUAGAGUAUGGGAGGGGGAACCGGAAUUGGUGGUGGAGCAGGGAAAUGCGUAG
rnacentral:rRNA from 1 species